AAGAAAGUGACUGCCGCCCCGCACAGGGGCGAAGCUAAUAGACCGACAAGAAAACAAGUUCCAUAGAAGCGCAAGCGCAUCAAACGGUUCAAAAAACACUAAACCCAAGCGCCAGCGACAUCCCA
rnacentral:sRNA from 1 species